rfam:Spinacia oleracea cultivar SynViroflay scaffold89176.con0014.1, whole genome shotgun sequence.
AGACGGUGGAGUUCAGGAACCACUUUAAAAACGAGGCGGAUUCUGAAAAGCCAAACGAGUAAGAAAAAC